rfam:Bacillus lehensis G1, complete genome.
GUGAUUAAAAUAGUCAUGCCGUAGACAGUAGGAGCGUGUACGCUUAAAUAUCCUACCGAGGUGAGCAAAUAGAUCUCUUGUAAUUUAGAGUGAAUUGCCCUCGUGUGUCGAACGCGAGGGCUUUCUAUAUGAGCCG